rnacentral:rRNA from 1 species
AGCAGCCGCGGUAAUUCCAGCUCCAAUAGCGUAUAUUAAAGUUGUUGCAGUUAAAAAGCUCGUAGUUGAAUUUCGGGAUUGGCGCAUCGGUCGUGCCUCACGGGGUAUGAACUGGUGCAGUCAAUUUCUCACCUUCUGGAGAACCGCGAUGUCCUUAAUUGGAUGCCGUGGGGAACCAGGACCUUUACUUUGAAAAAUUAGAGUGUUUAAAGCAGGCAUUUUUGCUUGAAUACAUUAGCAUGGAAUAAUAAAAUAGGACGGCAUGGUUCUAUUUUGUUGGUUUCUAGGACCACCGUAAUGAUUAAUAGGGAUAGUUGGGGGCAUUAGUAUUCAAUUGUCAGAGGUGAAAUUCUUGGAUUUAUUGAAGACUAACUACUGCGAAAGCAUUUGCCAAGGAUGUUUUCAUUAAUCAAGAACGAAAGUUAGGGGAUCGAAGACGAUCAGAUACCG